rnacentral:rRNA from 1 species
AGUCACUGACAUUAGAUACCCGGGUAGUCCAGGGUGUAAACGCUGCAGACUUGGUGUUGGAAGUCCUUUGGGGCAUUCAGUGCCGGAGAGAAGUUGUUAAGUCUGCUACUUGGGGAGUACGUCCGCAAGGAUGAAACUUAAAGGAAUUGGCGGGGAGCACCGCAACGGGAGGAGCGUGCGGUUUAAUUGGAUUCAACGCCGAAAAACUCACCAGCAGCGACUGUUACAUGAAAGCCGAGAUGAAGACUCUGCUAGAUUUUCAG